GGAUGUGAGGGCGAUCUGGCUGCGACAUCUGUCACCCCAUUGAUCGCCAGGGUUGAUUCGGCUGAUCUGGCUAGCUAGGCGGGUGUCCCCUUCCUCCCUCACAGCUCCAUGUGCGACCCUCCCGAAGCUGAGCGCUCGGUGGAAGAGGACGACCAUCCCCGAUAGAGGAGGACCGUUCUUCGGUCAAGGGUAUACGAGUAGCUGCAUGCGCUCCCCUGCUAGAACCUCCAAACAAGCUCUCAAGAUACAGACCAAAUGACACUGGACCUCAGCUUUACCAUUAUACAAUGAGCAUAAUAAUUAUUCUUUUCCUCAU
rnacentral:snRNA from 1 species